AUUGAACGCUGGCGGCAGGCUUAACACAUGCAAGUCGAGCGGAGAGAGGUAGCUUGCUACUGAUCUUAGCGGCGGACGGGUGAGUAAUGCUUAGGAAUCUGCCUAUUAGUGGGGGACAACAUUUCGAAAGGAAUGCUAAUACCGCAUUCGUCCUACGGGAGAAAGCAGGGGAUCUUCGGACCUUGCGCUAAUAGAUGAGCCUAAGUCGGAUUAGCUAGUUGGUGGGGUAAAGGCCUACCAAGGCGACGAUCUGUAGCGGGUCUGAGAGGAUGAUCCGCCACACUGGGACUGAGACACGGCCCAGACUCCUACGGGAGGCAGCAGUGGGGAAUAUUGGACAAUGGGCGGAAGCCUGAUCCAGCCAUGCCGCGUGUGUGAAGAAGGCCUUAUGGUUGUAAAGCACUUUAAGCGAGGAGGAGGCUACUUUAGUUAACACCUAGAGAUAGUGGACGUUACUCGCAGAAUAAGCACCGGCUAACUCUGUGCCAGCCGCCGCAGUAA
rnacentral:rRNA from 1 species